GUUGAACGCUGGCGGCAGGCCUAACACAUGCAAGUCGGGCGAGCGGAGGACGGGCGAGUAAUGUAUGGGCAUCUGCCUGAUGUACGGGGCAAACUACUGGAAACGGUAGAUAAUACCGCAUACCAUCAUAUGAACCCAUAUGGUAGUAGCUUGUAGGUGUGCUAACGGCUCACCUAGGCGACGAUCCCUACCUGGUCUGAGAGGCUGAUCAGCCACACUGGGACUGAGACACGGCCCAGACUCCUACGGGAGGCAGCAGUGGGGAAGAGUGCGCAAUGGGCGCAAGCCUGAUGCAGCCAUGCCGCGUGUAUGAAGAAGGCCUUCGGGUUGUAAAGUACUUGCAGUCGGGAGGCGUUACCGACAGAAGAAGCACCGGCUAACUCCGGGCCAGCCGCCGCGGUAAUUC
rnacentral:rRNA from 1 species